CACGGGGGGAGCGAACGUUGUUCGGAAUCACUGGGCGUAAAGGGCGUGUAGGCGGUUCGGUAAGUGGAAUGUGAAAUCCCCCGGCUUACCCGGGGAACUGCAUCCCAUACUGCUGGACUUGAGUGCGGGAGAGGAUGGAGGAAUUCCUGGUGUAGCGGUGAAAUGCGCAGAUAUCAGGAAGAACACCCGUGGCGAAGGCGACUCUUUGGUCUGUAACUGACGCUGAGGCGCGAAAGCGUGGGGAGCAACAGG
rnacentral:rRNA from 1 species